rnacentral:rRNA from 1 species
UACCGGUACAAAAAAACUUUUAAAACCGUACUUAAACCGACACAGGUGAACAAGAUUAAAUGAUCUAAGGCCACGAGAUAACCAUGUGAAAGGAACUCGGCAAAUUGCUUGCGUAACUUCGGGAGAAGCAAGACUCGAUAGAGUAAUAUUAUAAUAGAGGGGGGCGACUAGUUAACAAAACUACAGAACUUUGCGAAUUGAAAAAAAAAUGUAUAAAGUUUGACCACUGCCCAGUGCUGCUGAUAAACUCUAGGUGGUGUUUAGCUGUCUAGAUGGAUACGCAGUAAACGGCGGUCUUAACUCUGAAGAUCCUAAGGUAGCGAAAUUCCUUGUCGCUUAAUUGGCGUCCUGCAUGAAUGUGGUAACGAUCCCCCUGCUGUCUCUCACAUGGACUCGAUGAAAAUGCAAUUUCCGUGCACAUGCGGAAGACCUAUAGAAGGACAGCGAGACCCCGUGCACCUUGACUAUAAGCUGCUAACUUUGUUUUAAAUAAUUUGUGUAGACUAGGUGGGAGCUUUAUAAAAAAAAAGCAACGUUGAAAGACCACUCUGAUGACUUUAGAACAAAAACAAGGCAGUGCGGUAGUUUAUCUGGGGCGGAUGCCUUCUAAAAAGUAACGAGGGUGUGCUUAAGGUAACAAUGUAAACACAGAUACACAGGUCUAUUUGUUGCUUGACUGCUCGAUUUAUCAAUCAGGCAGAAACGAAAGUUGGUCUGAGUGACCCUGAGGGUUGGUGUGGAACUCCCUCAGAUCAUCAAAUAAAAGGUACGCCGGGGAUAACAGGCUAGUGUACUCCUAGAGUUCCUAUCGACGAGUACGUUCGGCACCUCGAUGUCGACUCAAAAUUUCCAGGCGCUGCAUCAAGUGCCAAAGGUUGUACUGUUCGUACAUUAAUAAUUUUACGUGAGUUGGGUUCAAUACGUUGUGAAACAGUAUGGAUAUUCUCUUCUAUAGGUGUUUUUAGACUGAGAGAAACUUCUAUGUGUACGAAAGGAUAAUUAGAAGCCCACCUCUGGUGUUAGGGCUGUUUUUAAUCUUAAGUGUUUUUUAUUUUUAAAUAAAAAAUACAUCAAGUGUAAAAAAGCAGCGCCCUGCAGCCAAGUGGGAAGUAUUAAUUGCUGAAAGCAUAUAAGCAAGAAAACUUUCUUAAAACAAGUCUUAAAUCUUAUUUUUGGUUUAAAAUCGCUCAACGCUAGAGCGUAAAUAGGUUUUUAGGUGUACGCUAGGCGACUAGUUUAGCUUGAAAAUACUAAUUAUAUUUUAAUUUUAGAGAAAAACACAAA